rnacentral:misc_RNA from 1 species
GCAAACUUGGUCAUUUAGAGGAAGUAAAAGUCGUAACAAGGUUUCCGUAGGUGAACCUGCGGAAGGAUCAUUAUUGAAUAACUCCUUUGGUUGGGUUGUUGCUGGCUCUUUGGAGCGCAUGUGCACACCUAUACCAUAAGUUGUCCCACCUGUGCACACCGCAUAGAUCCGGAGUACUGUGAAAUAAAAGCUUGGUCACAGGCUAAUUCUCGUAUUCCAGAUCUCUGUCUUAUUCUACACACACAAAUGUAUGAGAAUGUUGUUUAUAGGCAUUUAAAUGUCCAUUAAAUUACAAAACAACUUUCAACAACGGAUCUCUUGGCUCUCGCAUCGAUGAAGAACGCAGC